rfam:Danio rerio chromosome 7, GRCz11 reference primary assembly.
ACUGUCAGUGUAACGUGAGCGAACCACUGACAUUUGAAGACAUGAACCCUCACAUGGUCGCCCACUGAAGCUAAGCAGGGCUGCGCCCGGUCAGUACCUGGAUGGGAGACCACAUGGGAAAGCUAGGUUGCUGCCGGAA